GUACUUCAGUUUCUUUUAAUAUGCUUCCUUGUAGGAGGCCAGUAAAAUGUUGUUUUCCAACAUUAGUAAAGUCUGGUUAUGAGAAGAACCAAACUGAAAGUGACCUGCAGAUAGCCUUCACAAAAGAUGGCAUGCUAACAGGGUGGGUGGUGACUUUACACCAGAGGUGCCCUGUGAAAAACCUUAUUUCAGGUGCUCUGAACCAUUGCAAAUGCAUUUUCUUUCAGAAGGAUUUCCCAGACGUACUUACUCUUCUCUUUCAGGGUUUACUGGGGAAGAGGAGUGGAUUCUGGGGACUGCAACAGAAACAAUUGUACGUACUUUAUGCCAGCUACAUGUUCUGUGUGGCAGAAAGACGCUUACUUCUGAGGUUUCUGGAAAGUGCCUGCUAGAAUGAUUUCCACUGUAUUCUCUGAUGGCCUCUGUGCUUUGCUACCCAGGUGCUGCUGGACUGACUACAGUUGUGCUGGAGAGCUGUUCUGAAUGAGCGUAGACAAUCAAAUGCUUCAUCAAAGCUGAAGUCCAGCUCCUAGGUGGAGGUCACAGUCAUCUUUGGAAGGUGUAACUCUCAGAUUUCCAAGUUUGGACCAUGUGGGCUAAACUCGAAGAAAUUCAGAAAGUCUGAGAAGAGUCUUCAGCCUCUGAAGCUGUUCUAUGUGUAUGUGCCACCACGUGCUCAGUUUUCAAUGGAUGCAAUGGAUGUGAGGCAGUAACUGUGAGCUGCCCUGUAGGAUCUGUUGGAAGAAAGCCGGAGAAAUGACAAAAGCAAGGAAGCGGCAUGGGAAUGAUGAGCAGGUCAGCACACUGGAGAAGCAAAAUGAGGACAGUAGACGGGAAGGUAGAAGAAACAGUGAAAGAGGAGGCUGCAGCUGAAAAGGGGGGAAUUGUAAAAGGACACAGAAUUGUGGAGGAAAGAUAGACAGAAACAUGAAAUAAUGAAAGACUGCAGGUAAGCAACUUGUUCUCUGUGCCAAUCCUUCCUCUCUUCCUCCUGGACACGGCAGAACAAAACAUACUAGCAUGCAGUGGAGCACAGCAAUGAAAAAAUACACGCAAAAGAUGAACAGAUUGACUUCCCAAGUACUGUUGGCGUUCUUUAGUAAUGAUUUUUUUUUUCCGGAUCAUUUCUUUCUAUAUCAUGUACAAAGAAAAGACUCACUUUGCUUACCUUAAUGCAUUGAUUCGAAUCAAAUUCUCACCAAGAGCAUGAGCAGGUGAUAAAUUCUCUUGCUUUCAACUGUUUUUUGGAGUGAAGUUUGUAAAAAAUACCUUAUGUUGCUGGACUGUUGUCUGGGAGCUUUU
ensembl:lncRNA